rnacentral:lncRNA from 1 species
UUUUUUUUUCUUUUUCUUUUUUUUGAGAUUCAAAGUUUAUUUAUUGGUUUUCUCAUAAAUCCACUUAGUCUUAUGCAUAAAAUUUUGAUUUGGUGUUAUUGUCACAUGCUUUCCAGGUGUUUAUCUAAAUGAAUCUUUUUUUCAUUUUUAAAAGUUUUAUUGAACUAUAGUUGAUUUACAGUGUUUUGAUAAUUUUUUCCGUACAGCAAAGUGAUUCGUAUAUAUGUAUAUACACAUAUAUUUGUAUAUAUAUACGCACACACAUUCAUUCUUUUUAAGAUUCAUUUCCCAUAUAGAUCAUCACAGAAUAUUGGAUAAAGUUCCCUGUGCUAUCCUGUCCCCUUUGGUCAGUAAUUCCAUCUACCGCAGUGUGUGUGUGCCAAUCCCAAACCACCAGCCCAUUCCGCCCCCCACACCUAUCCCCUUUGGUAAUCAUAAGUUUGUUUUCCAAGUCUGUGAGUCUGUUUCUGUUCUGCAGAUACAUUCAUUUGUAUCCUUUUUUAGAUUCCAUGUGUAAGUGAUAUCACAUGAUGUUUGUCUUUCAUUGUCUAACUUCACUUAGUAUGAUAAUCUCCAGGUCCACCCGUGUUGCUGCCAAUGGUAUUAUUUUACUCUUUUUAUGUUUGAGUGCUAUUCCAUUUUGUGUGUGUGUGUGUGUGUGUGUGUGUGUGUGUACACCACACAUCUUUAUCCCUUCCUCUGUCGAUGGACAUUUGACUUGCUUUCAUGUCUUGGCUAUUGUAAAUAGUGCUGCAGUGGACACUGGGGUGCAUUAUCUUUUCAAAUUAUGAUUUUCUCUGGAUAGAUGCCCGAGAGUGGGAUUGUUGGAUCAUAUGGUAGUUCUAUUUUUAGUUUUUGGAGGAAGUUUUUGAUUAGUGAUUCAAUCUCCUUACUUGUUAUUGGCCUCUUCACAUUUUCUACUUCUUUGUGUUUCAGUCUUGGUGAGGUUCUAGAAAUUUAUCCAUUUUUUCCCCCUAGAUAAUCUAAUUUGUUGGCAUAUAGUUGUUCAUGGUUGUUUCUUAUGGUCUUUUAAAUUUCUUGGUAACAGUUAUAAUAUCUUCUCUUUCAUUUCUUCUUUCUUUCUUUUUUUUCUCUUUAGGGUUGCACCUGUGGCAAAUGGAGGUUACCAGGCUAGGGGUCAAAUUGGAGCCGUAGCUGUCAGCCUACACCACAGCCACAGCAACAUGGGAUCUGAGCCACAUCUGUGACCUGCACCACAGCUCAUGGCAACACCAGAUCCUCAACCUACUGAGCAGGGCCAGGAAUCCAACCCGCAUCCUCAUGGAUACUAGUUGGGUUCCUUUCUGCUGAGCUACAACGGGAACUCCCUCUCCUCUUUCAUUCCUGAUUUUAUUUGAUCUUCUCUCCCUGUUUUCUUAGCAUAAUCUAGCUAAAGGUGAGCAAAACGAAAGGUCAUGUUUCUCUAAGAGAGGAAGGAAAUGCAUCUUCUCCACAUGUACAUACCAACAUCUUUAGGUAAAGUCUUUUCAAAGUAACACCUAACUUUUGAAGUAGUUGUUGUGGCUCCCACAGCAGAUUUAGGUCUGUGGUUUUCAAGUGGUCGCCAAUACUAUUAUAACCCCCACGAUAGAUGGCCAAUGACAACAAAUAUAUUCAUUACCAAAUUUCUUCUUCUUUUUCUUCUUCUUUUUUUUGUUUGGCUGUGCCUAAAGCAUGCAAAAGUUCCCAGGCCAGGAAUCCAACUUGUGCCACAGCACAGACCCAGGCUGCUACGAUGAUAACACUGGAUUCUUGACCCAAUGUACCACGGGAAAACUCCCCAUUAUCAACUUUCUUGAGAAAUGAAGAUUCAGUCUUAGCUUUGUGGAAAAUUCAGUAUUAUUUUUUUAUUAUCAUACCAUACACCUUGUUACCUUAAGCUCAUUAUGCCAAAAGGUUUAUUGGAAAAGUGGCAAAUAAUAAAACAAAAAAGUAGGUGUAAGAGUUCCCACUGUGGUGCAAUGGGAUUGAUGGCAUUUCUGGAGUGCUGGGACGAAGGUUUGAUCCCUGGCCCAGCACAGCUGGUUAAAGGGGAACACCAUAUGCCAUGGGGCAGCCCAAAAAAAAGUAGUUGUAGAUUUACACUGUACAGAAAAAUGACAAAAUAGCACAGCAGGAAGAUUCAGACCCCUUUCCACUUGCUUUAUGGCAGAACUGCUUGGCCUCUAUUUCCUGUACAUUUUUCACCUAAUGUAUAAUUUCCCAUCCCCCUCACUAUUCUCACCAACUGAGGGCCUGAAGCCUGCAUGCAAAUUUCAUGCCACAGCAUGAUGCCUCUAUAAAAGCUCCCAAAGAUGGAAUCUGGAGGGCUUCCAGGUGGGUGAACAUAUGAGGGGCUGGGAGAAUGGAGCCCUGGGAGAGGCAUGGACGCUCUGCAGCCCUUUCCACCUAUCUUGUUUUACAGCUGUCUUCCAUCUGGAUGUUCAUCUCUUAUCUUUGUCAUAUCCUUUUAUGAUAAACUGGUAAACAUGAGUCAUUCUAGCAAGUUAAUUGAACCUCUGCUUUAUGGAGGAUGGAUCGGAAGCGCAGGUGGCAACAUGGCCUUGGGAUUGGCAUCUGUAGUUGCAAGGGAGGAGUCUUGUGGAACUGAUCCCUUGACCUGUGAGAUUGGAGGCUGCCUCUGAGUAGAUUGUGUCAGUAUUGAGUUGAGUUGUAGGACACCCAGCUGGUGUCACAGAGAAUUGCUUGGUGUGGGGAAAGCCUCACACAUUGGGUGACAGAAAUGUUCUAUGUCCAUGUGAUAGUGGUGUGACAAUAAAGGAGACACACAGGAGAAAAACAUAGUAGGGAACACCUGGGUUUUUCCCUAAAAACUGAGUUUCCCCAAACGUGCAGAUAAUGGCAAGUGGAGCUGUUGUGUGCACACAAAAAAGGUAGGGUUUGAGGGCUAUGGACAAAGCACUGGUGGUAACUCUAACACUUUUUGCCGCAGACUCCGGCAACUUCACCCUUGGGGGGGGUCUCUUGGCAUGCAGGGGCACAGCUAUCAACCAAGAGUGGGGGUGGGGCAAUGGAAAAAUAUCCCAACUCUUUGUCCUUCAAGAGGGACAGCUUCAGAGAUCCCAGCAUACUUGGGUUCCGAUUGUCCACGUCAAAACCUGUUUAUCAGCUCACAGUGUAUUUUUCUUCCACUUCCUGUCUCACUUCCUCACUGAAGGGGAGAUUCCAGUGUUGGAUGCAAUCCACCUGCUGUGGGGCAACAGGGACUCUAGUGCAGGUGUUAAAGGAGAUGCUGGCAUACUGCAGCAUCAAAAUAUUUUGCCUUCAAUGUUUGGUAGGUUGAGAUGCUGUAUAGGUAGUGUUUGAAUAAUAUGGAGAAAAGGGUAAUUAUGAGGGUGUGGCAUUGGAUGCCUAUGUUUAUUGAUCACAGAAACCUAGAAGAAAUGAAAAGGGAAAGAAGGUUGAUGAUCAUUUCAGGUUACAAUUUCAAAGUCAGAGCAUCUGCAGAGCAGCUUAAGGAGAUCCUCAUCUAUUGUAGUUUUCAGUAUACCUGUUGAAAAUCAGGUGUACUGAAAAUCAGGCCCAAGAUUUCAUUGUCAGGGUGGCAGAUUUUAAAAGGACUAGAUUCACAGCCGUAACAAGAUUCUACGAUAAAGUCAGGACCCUCAUAAGGAAUAAAUGGAUUCCGAGACUUGGGAUGGAGAAAUUUGGGUUGAUGCACAUGAGAACGUUCAGCCCAAGGUAACCCUGAACCUCUGAACUUUGUUAAAAAAGAGCAAACUCCUUUUACCUAGAGACCAUGUACCUGAGAUGGAUGUUUUUGUCCUGUUCUCCUUGAAACCUGCUCCUACAUAUCCUCAUUGAUUUUCACUGAUAACUGGAGUCAAGUAUCAGCUUGGCCCAAGCAAAGAAGGACUGUUUUUACUCUGGGAAGGGAAGGAUUGCUCACACCAAACUUUUGGCAGUAUCUCUCAGGAGGAAUGAGGGGAAUGUAUGGAAAUAGUUUUAACUGUCUUGUACUGUAGAAGACAGAAUACAAGAUUAAUUAGACCUUAUUUAUAUAGAGGAUAUCUUAUCUAUUGCUGCAUAACAAAUGACCAUAUAUGUUAAGACUUAUAUUUUUAUUUUUUCAUUUUUAGGGCCACACCUGUAGCAUACGGACGUUCCCAGGCUAGAGGUCAAAUUGGAGCUGCAGCUGCAGGCCUACACCACAGCCACAGUAACUCGGAUCCAAGAUGCAUCCUCCAUCUAUGCCCCAGCUUGGGGCAACAACAGAUCCUUAACCCACUGAGCAAGGCCAGGGAUCAAACCCUCAUCCUCAAAGACCCUAGCUGGACUCUUAACCUGCUGAGCCACAACAGGAACUCCUGUUGUGGCUUUUAAAAAGACACACAUUGGAGUUCCCGCUGUGGCACAGUGGAUUAAUGAUCUGGCUUGUCUCUGUGGUGGUGCUGCUUCAGUCUCUGGCCCGGUGCAGUGAGUUAGGGAUCCAGAGUUGCUGCAGCUGUGGCAUAAGGUCGCAGCUUCUGCUUGGCUUCAAUCCCUGGACCAGGAUCUUCUGUAUGCCCCAAGUGCAGCUGAAAAAGGAAAAGCCACCACCACCAUCACAACAACAAACAAACAAAACAACAUACACACUUAUUAUCUGACCAUUUCUAUGGGUCAGGAAACAUGCAGUUUAUGUAGGUCCUUUGCUUCAGGAUCUUUUAUAGUCUGCCAUUCAACUAUCAGCCAGGGCUAAGUUCUCAACCUAAGUCUUGAUUAUAGAAAUAUUUGUUUUCAAGCAUGUGCAGUUGAUGGUGGGAUUCAGUUCCUUGUGAGUUAUUUCAUUACUUCACGGAGACCUUUAGUUCCUUGCAGGGUGUUGACUAGAGGCUAUGCUCCUUCCUUUGCCAUGUCGGUCUCUCCGUAAUGGCACCUUGCUUCAUCAGAUCAGUAAGGGAGAAGGUCUAUGAACAGGGUUGAAAUCACUCUGUUAUGUAAUCUGUGCAGAUAAAUGACAUCUUAUCACAUUUGCUAUGUUCUACUAGUUAGCAGCAAGUCAUAAUUCCUGCCCUCUCUUAAGGAAAGGGGAUUAUAUAAAGGCAUGAAUACCAGGAAGCAAAGCAUACUCUAACGGGUUUGAUAUUCUUCUGGAAUGGCUCCUUGAAGUUUGACAAUGUGGUGACUUAAAGAAGAUUCAGUGGAUGUGGUCAAAAGUCUCUGGCCAGAUAUUUGGGAAGGAUUCAAGAGAUGGAGGGAGGUGGGCAUGUCAGAAUAGAUAUAAUAGGGAGCUCCCAUUGUGGCUCAGUGGUAAUGAAUCCGACUAGUAUCCAGGAGGAUGUAGGUUUGAUCCCUGGCCUCGCUUAGUGGGUUAAGGAUCUGGUGUUGCCAUAAGCUGUGAUAUAGGUCUCAGACACGUGGCUUGGAUCCCAUGUGGCUAUGGCUGUGGUAUAGGCUGGCAGCUGCAUCUAUGAUUUGACCCCUAGCUUGGGAACCUCCAUAUGCUGUGGAUGUGGCCCUAAAAAGACUAUAUCUAUUCUAUUAAUGUAUCUAUAUCUAUAUCUAUAAUGUAUCUAUAUCUAUAUCUAUGUCUGUAUCUAUAUCUAU